rnacentral:rRNA from 1 species
CCUACGGGUGGCUGCAGUGAGGAAUAUUGGUCAAUGGGCGCGAGCCUGAACCAGCCAAGUAGCGUGAAGGAUGACGGCCCUACGGGUUGUAAACUUCGUUUAUAAAGGAAUAAAGUGAGGCACGUGUGCCUUGUUGUAUGUACGUUAUGAAUAAGGAUCGGCUAACUCCGUGCCAGCAGCCGCGGUAAUACGGAGGAUCCGAGCGUUAUCCGGAUUUAGUGGGUUUCAAGGGAGCGUAGAUGGGUUGUUAAGUCAGUUGUGAAAGUUUGCGGCUCACCCGUAAAAUUGCAAUUGAUACUGGCAGUCUUGAGUACAGUUGAGGUAGGCGGAAUUCGUGGUGUAGCGGUGAAAUGCUUAGAUAUCACG